GACGAACGCUGGCGGCGUGCCUAACACAUGCAAGUUGAGCGACGAACCAGGGCUUGCCCUGGGGCAAAGCAGCGAACGGGUGAGUAACACGUGGGUAACCUGCCCCGAUAACCGGGACAACCCGAGGAAACUCGGGCUAAUACCGGAUGUGCUCCUUGACCUCGAGGUCACGGCGUAAAGAUAGCUUCGGCCUUCGCAUCGGGAC
rnacentral:rRNA from 1 species